rnacentral:rRNA from 1 species
CGUUCCCGGGCCUUGUACACACCGCCCGUCACACCAUGGGAGUGGGUUGUACCAGAAGUAGGUAGAAUAACCGUAAGGGGUUCGCUUACCACGGUAUGGUUCAUGACUGGGGUG